UACGUAGGCAGCAAGCGUUGUUCGGAAUUACUGGGCGUAAAGAGUGUGUAGGCGGUGCUCUAAGUCUGUUGUGAAAUCUCCCGGCUUAACCGGGAGGGUGCGGCGGAAACUGGAGUGCUUGAGGGUGGGAGAGGUAAGCGGAAUUCCGGGUGUAGCGGUGAAAUGCGUAGAUAUCCGGAGGAACACCGAUGGCGAAGGCAACCGCCUGGGCCUGUACUGACGCUGAGACACGAAAGCGUGGGGAGCAAACAGG
rnacentral:rRNA from 1 species